rnacentral:misc_RNA from 1 species
AAAAAAAAAAAAAAAAACCUGAUCUAAUGCUUCAUAGAUCACCUGUGAUAUGGUGAACUCCCUCAACUUUAUGGAUGAGAGAGAAAUUAUGAAGGCCUCUCUAGACUUCUGAUGAUGAGAUAUGAGAUUUGAUUGAACAACAUGUCAAUUUCUUUAUAAUUGAGAAUUUUUUGGGACUUAACCCUGUGUUCUGCUAUACUCAAGGAUGCCAAAGUCAAAUAUGAUAAAUUUGUGAGGACCUCAGGUACCUUUGAAGUUGGAAUUAUUGAGUGGUACUAGCAUUUGCAAAAGAGAGUGAUCAAUUGUAUAGCAUUUCUUCUUGUGCUUUCCAAGUUCAGAUUUUGUAUGCUCCUGAUGGAUUUAUUUAUAUAUCUGCAACAGAUCCAAGUUUUCUAGUGGCAUUUUUUUAAUAGAAAAGUUUCUAAUGAUUUGCAUGGUUAAUUCCUAUUACAAUGCUUCAUCUACUUGCUAUUUGUCCAUGGCAGGUUGCCUGUACAUUCUCUCAA